UGCCCAAGGUCACAAAGUAAUUUUCCAAGCCAAAAUUUCAACUCAGGUCUGCCUGAUGCCAGGGGCUGCAUUGUUUCCACUGCACCACCUUGCCUCUCUAUUGGGCUGAGCCGCUUCUGCUUGGCUGGGUUUUCUUAAAAGGUGGGCAUGGUGGCUGGAUACUCCUGGUGAAGGAAUGAUGGAUCCUGCCUGCAGAGGAAGUUCUGGGUGGUUUCCCGGCUGCUACCAAUGGACAGAUUCAUAGGAGGCGCCUCCUUCAGGCUCUAGCCUGUGAAACAUAUUCUUGCCUAAAAUGCAGCAUGGUGAAGCAGUUCUAGACUCCGGAAACAGAUUGCAGGGUACAUAUCCCAGAUUGGAUGCUUAGCAGCUGGAUGACCUUAGAUAAGUGUCUUAACUUCUUCAUGCCUCUGGGUUCUUCUCUAUAAAAUGAGGACGAUAAUAGGGUUGUAAUGGACAUUAAAUGAGUCUGUUAUCAUCGUUUUGGCUCUGUGCUCAUCCCAAAGUUUUCUUAAAUAGGGGGCAUGAUGGUGUGGGCAGAGAAUAGCUUUGCUAUCGGACAGCCUAGGAUUCAAAUCCUGACUCUUGCCAUUUACUAGCUGUUUGACUUUGCAUAAAUGACUUACCCUCUCUGGGCCUCGGCUUCCUCAGCAGUAAAAUGGAGAUAAUGAUAGUUUGAACUUUCCAGAGUGGUUAUGAAGCAUGGUAUUUUCACCAGGGUUUCUCCAUAGGUAAAACACUAUAGAGACAGUAUGCUUUUAAAAAUAUUGUCAUUAAUUCUGUUCAAGGUCCUGGUCAAGAUCUUAAAUCCUUUGCUCCCUCCUGCCUCAUCUCAGUGAUGUCUCUUAACCCUCUUGGGCUCCAGUUGCUUCCCGGUGUCAGAUCUAUCCCUCUGGGUGAGGAAAUAACCCCUCACAUGUAACCAACACUUUGAAGUCUGCAAAACCUGUUCUCACUCACAAUCUCAUUGCACCCGGCCUAGAAACCACUCUGGGCUGGAUAGGGCAGGCUUUAUUAGUCCCACCUUACAGAUGAGGGCGCUAAGACUCAGAGAUGAGAGGAAACUUGCCCCAGGUCUCAGAACCAGGAGCUGAGAGCAGGUCUUGAAACAAUGCCCUCAGGGAUAAUGUCCAAGCAGCAUUUUUCUACGUCCUGAUACACAUUUUCACGGUUUCACCCUGCUAAACAUAGAUACUAGCCCAUCUCCCAUUCAUAAAUGAAGUCUUGAAUCAUCAAAUAAAAAUUAUUUUUCUUCAUGAACUGGAUGGAGAAUACCUAUUUUAGUCCUAUAGCAACAUUUAACCUUGAUGAUCAAAAGGUCUCUUUACUCCAAAGACGACUUUAAGCAGGUUAUAUUUUCUUUAAAGGAAUCAUUCUCACAGGCCAACAUUGUUCUAACCGGUCUGUAACUAGCUCGGACCGCUUGAAAACUAACCUUGUCUCCUCAAAUAUCAGGAUGAGAACCGUAGCAAAAACCAUUCUCGAAUGGAUAUCGUUUUUCAGUUUAGGCAAGUGACUCUGAACUUGGAUGGGAGGCAGGGGCGUGGUGGGAUGGGUUACAGAAUUCCCAAGUGUGUCAUCUGGAAAAGCAUAUUUAGUAUACCUAUUUUUUUUCCUGUGGCAUAACCUCUUGAAAGUCAAGCUUGUAUCAAAACCUUUUUGGUUGGUGUAGGAUAUGCAGAAGAUGGAGGGAGAUGUGGACAAAUGAAGGUUGAGAAGCACUGAGCCAGCGCAGUUCUCUAAAAAGGGUUCCUCAGGUCCGUGCUCUGCCUGUAGAGCCAUGCUGUCGAAUACAGUAGCCACGAGCCACAAUGACUAUCGAGCACUUGACAUGUGGCUAAUCGGAAUCGAGAUGUGCUGCAAGGGUAAAAUAUCCACCAGCUUUCAAAGACUUCGUAUGAAAAAAGAAAAAGGAAAAUAUCUCGUUAAUAAGUUUUAUAGUGAUUAUGUGUUGACAUGAUAAUAUUUUGGUCAUAUUGAAUGAAAUAAAAUGUAUUAUUAAAAUUAA